AAAAACUUUUCAUUUGAAGGAAAAACCAUGGACUUCUCAUCUUUUUCAUCCCACCUUUAAUCUAUCUAAUACUAAAUCAAAUCAACUAUACAUUCUUUAAAAUCCAAAAUCUUCUACCAGCACCAUUCCAGUGGCCAUUAAUAGGAAACAUACCAAAUUUCAUAGGCAAAAAUCCCCAUAUCAAAUGUGUAUAAUAUAGUAAGANNNNNNNNNNNNNNNNNNNNNNNNNCAGUACAUUAUAAUAUAGUACUCUUUCUAUUAGAAAGUUACAUGAGUAUAUCUUGAAAUAACAUCAUACGAAUUUUUCCCUACUUCGAUCCGCCGUUACGUAUCGUCGCAAUCAACGGGUGUUAAAGGGAUUGUCAAGAGAAUCGGUUCAGGUAUGUUAAGGCUAUCCCUUCUUUCUUUUGGCAUGAUCUAUACGACACAUGCGAAACGAGCAAAUGCACAACUUACAUAAAUUACUUUAUUCGUAGAAAUGCUAGAGAUGUAUAUAUUCUUAUUUUUCCAUGUGUCAUAUUAUUCUAUCAUCUGUUUAUGGGUCUCAAAAAUACAUAAAUUGGUAAAGUUUAUUUCAUGAUAUUAAUCAGAGGCAUAAUGGUCUUAUGACGUACUGAGAGAUUUUAUUAACGUAUUUCAUAUGCAUUUCAUGUAUUUAUACAUGCACAUUGACCCAUGACUAGAUGGCAUUAUAUACGCGUAUAUAUAUAUAUAUAUAUAUAUAUAUAUGGGAUAUGAAAAAGGUUAUGGCGUUAUAUACGCACCACCACCUGUGCGGGUAAUUGGUUAAUUAUUAAUUAGUGGGAGAUUAACUAGUUAAUUAAGGAUUAGUAGAUAAUUAAUUAAGAUAUUGGGAUAAGGCCUAACAAGCCAAAACGUGACAGCCCCUUUCUUUCAUUAAAUGACUCUUACCUUAUAAUUGAAAGGUGUCACAAUUGAGUAAGAUUACGGCUUAGUCAUUACUAUGUGGGCCCCACUCCAUUUAAUGCAUAAAACCCCUCUAAUUCAAAGAGGGGUCUUAUAUACAAAUGUUAGAAAACGUUCAGGAGGUAUUCAACCAAAUUUAACACAAAAAACUUUUCAUUUGAAGGAAAAACCAUGGACUUCUCAUCUUUUUCAUCCCACCUUUAAUCUAUCUAAUACUAAAUCAAAUCAACUCUACAUUCUUUAAAAUCCAAAAUCUUCUACCAGCACCAUUCCAGUGACCAUUAAUAGAAAACAUACUAAAUUUCAUAGGCAAAAAUCCCUAUAUCAAAUGUGUAUAAUAUAGUAAGGCAGUACAUUAUAAUAUAGUACUCUUUUUAUUAGAAAGUUACGUGAGUAUAUCUUGAAAUAACAUCAUACGGAUUUUCUCCUACUUCGAUCCGUCGUUACGUGUCGUCGCAAUCAACGGGUGUUAAAGGGAUUGUCAAGAGAAUCGGUUCAGGUAUGUUAAGGCUAUCCCUUCUUUCUUUUGGCAUGAUCUAUACGACACAAGCGAAAUGAGCAAAUGCACAACUUCCAUAAAUUACUCUAUUCAUAGAAAUGCUCGAGAUGUAUAUAUUCUUAUUUUUCCAUGUGUCAUAUUAUUCUAUCAUCUGUUCAUGAGUCUAAAAAAUACAUAAGUUGGUAAAGUUUAUUUCAUGAUAUUAAUCAGAGGCAUAAUGAUCUUAUGACGUACCGAAAGAUUUUAUUAAUGUAUUUCAUAUGCAUUUUAUGUAUUUAUAAAUGCACAUUGACCCAUGACCAGAUGGCGU
rnacentral:lncRNA from 1 species